rnacentral:lncRNA from 1 species
GGCGGCGGCUCUCAGACUGCCGAGCGGGAAGCCUCCGCGGACCACUCCAACCGGGCCUCGGGGCCUCCUUUUUUAUUUUUUUGAAACGGACUCCGAGUGCGGAGUUCUCCUGGCCCCGCGCCUCGGUUGAAGGAUCACCGCCGCGGUAGAGCUGUUUCCCGACCCCCGCUCCACAGCCACCACCCACGCCGAAACCAAACCACCACCAACAAAAAAUCCAGCUUUGGGCCCCUCUUUUGGAAUCUCUAGCGCAGCACGGAACUCUUCACCCCGCCUCGCAGGGUCCAGACUAGGUGACAGGAAACAUUUGAGGGAAAGACUGUUUGAGGUGGUGCAGUGAGGAAGAAAGACGGUAAUGGGGGCAUGACCGGGCCUCACCCGACCAAGCCGAUGGCCAACGCAGCAGAGAGCCCGCGGUACUGCUCUGAACGCUAUUUGAUCCAGGCCGCCCCUUGCACCCGGAUGUUCUUCCUUGUUGGAACCUGCCACGUCAUGGCGGGAGAAGAUUCUACGUCACCCUUCCUUGACCCUUCAUCCACCUCAGGAAAGCAUUGGGGUCAACCGCCCUGCUUCUGGUGAAGCUAUUUGCUCCUAAUGCUAAGCAGAUGUACAUGGUUAAUCACUUGAAAGAGAGCCCAGCAGAAGAGAAGGGACAUGUGCUGGAGGGAAGUGCCAGGAGAGCCCAUGGGGACAUACAAGAUUUGGCAGACCUGUGCUCCAGCAAGCUUGAUGCUGUCAUUAUACUGGUGGUUUUGAGUGGCCCAGAACUGCCCUGUCAACAGUUCUGUAAAGGACUCUUUCAAGUUACAUUUCCCAUGUGCUGGCAGCUAACACCUUCCUGCUUGUGAGGUCACAGUGUGUCAGGGUAAUAAUGUAAUUGGAGUGGGGGAAAAGAAUGAAAAGCUUACUGCUGGCCAAGAGGUUCUACAGUACUUUCCCAUUUUCCUUCCUCCAAAUGAAUAUAAAUGUGACUGCUCUUCUGGUAGCUCAACAAAUGAUCUUUCAUUUUGGGGCUGCCAUAUUUGGUAAUUGACACUGGGUGGGGUGGGAGUGGACAUGGUAAGGGAUGGUUCUUUAAGGUGAGGAGACCAGAUGGCUUUAAAUCAUAGGGAAAAUGUAUUCUUUCAAAAUAUACUGGCCUACUCUGUAAGAAAAAAAUUUCAAUAUAGCCGUUCUUUUGUAUGAUAUCAUUCAGCUGUAUGGAUCAAAUUAUCCUUGCUUUAAUGAUUUCCUAUUGAUCCUAGUACACACAGCCUUCAUUUCU